rnacentral:rRNA from 1 species
UACACUGCACGACAGUGCGAUAGGGGGAUCCCAAGUGCACAGGCAUAGCGCCUGUGCUUUUCGGCACCCUAAGGUGGUGCCAGAAUAAGGGCUGGGCAAGACCGGUGCCAGCCGCCGCGGUAAUACCGGCAGCCCGAGUGAUGGCCGAUCUUAUUGGGCCUAAAGCGUCCGUAGCUGGCCGCGCAAGUCCAUCGGGAAAUCCACCUGCUCAACAGGUGGGCGCCCGGUAGAAACUGCGUGGCUUGGGACCGGAAGGCGCGACGGGUACGUCCGGGGUAGGAGUGAAAUCCCGUAAUCCUGGACGGACCGCCGAUGGCGAAAGCACGUCGCGAGAACGGAUCCGACAGUGAGGGACGAAAGCCAGGGUCUCGAA